rnacentral:lncRNA from 1 species
AAAAAAAUAAAAUAAAAAAAAUAAAAAAAUAGUUUCUUGCGUAUAUAGUUAUACCUCUUCGGUUAUGCAUAAAGUACUGUUGUCAUAAUGUUGCUAACGCGCAAUAAUUUUGCUUACAGUGGGAUUCAUGUCGCUACCAUAAGAUUUAAAUUAGUUUUUUAUUAAUCAACUUUUGCCACAUGUAACUUCGACUCCAGCUCCGUUUUGUUGCCAAAAAACCUGUAGCUGCACAUAACAGGGUUAGUUUGCACGGCAUGGGUUAAGUACUCCUUUAAGUUAAGAAAUUUCAGUAAUUUAAAUACUAUGAAAAUUUCUCCUCAUCCAUAUGACGAAGAACAAUCGGGAUCAAUUUUUGCUUUGAAUUUUUUAUUCCAUGUAAGCACAUGUUCCUCUAAGAGUGAUAUUUUCCAAAGUAAUUAGAUACUACAUUUUCGUAUGACAAGGUAGUUGUUUAUGAAAUUCAACUCUAUUGUUAAUAUUAUCUAUUUAACUAUCUUUUCC